UCUCUCUCUACAGUAUAUUAUUAUCCUUCUCUCUCUCUACAGUAUAUUAUUAUCCUUCUCUCUCUCUCUACAGUAUAUUAUUAUCCUUCUCUCUCUCUCUACAGUAUAUUAUUAUCCUUCUCUCUCUCUACAGUAUAUUAUUAUCCUUCUCUCUCUCUCUCUACAGUAUAUUAUUAUCCUUCUCUCUCUCUACAGUAUAUUAUUAUCCUUCUCUCUCUCUUACAUAUAUUAUUAUCCUUCUCUCUCUCUACAGUAUAUUAUUAUCCUUCUCUCUCUCUACAGUAUAUUAUUA
rnacentral:lncRNA from 1 species